UGUGUAGGCGGCCUGUUAAGUUCCGUGUGAAAUCUCCCGGCUCAACCGGGAGGGUGCGCGGAAAACUGGCGGGCUAGAGUACGGGAUGGGAGAGUAGAAUUCCUGGUGUAGCGGUGAAAUGCGUAGAUAUCAGGAGGAAUACCGGUGGUGUAGACGGCUCUCUGGACCGUAACUGACGCUGAGACACGAAAGCGUGGGUAGCAAACAGGAUUAGAUACCCUGGUAGUCCACGCCCUAAACGAUGCAUAUUUGGUGUAGGCAGUUCAUUCUGUCUGUGCCGGAGCUAACGCGUUAAAUAUGCCGCCUGGGGAGUACAGUCGCAAGGCUGAA
rnacentral:rRNA from 1 species